GACGAACGCUGGCGGCGUGCUUAACACAUGCAAGUCGAGCGGAAAGGCUCCUUCGGGAGUACUCGAGCGGCGAACGGGUGAGUAACACGUGGGUAAUCUGCCCAGGACACAGGAAUAACCAGUGGAAACGCUGGCUAAUGCCUGAUGAUGUGCCAACCCCUCGGGGGAGGUACCAAAGGUAGCUUCGGCCUCCGGUCUUGGAUGAGCCCGCGACCCAUUUGCUUGUUGGCGGGGUAACGGCCCACCAAGGCGAGGAUGGGUAGCUGGUCUGUGAGGACGAUCAGCCACACUGGGACUGAGACACGGCCCAGGCUCCUACGGGAGGCAGCAGUGGGGAAUCUUGCGCAAUGGGCGAAAGCCUGACGCAGCAACGCCGCGUGCGGGAAGAAGGUCUUCGGAUUGUAAACUCCUGUCAUGUAGAAUGAAAUGUAACUGCUCAAAUAGAGCAGUUACUUGACAGUACUGCAAGAGGAAGCCACGGCUAACUCCGUGCCAGCAGCCGCCGUAA
rnacentral:rRNA from 1 species